GCGCUCCGACCCAGCCGCUCCAUGCUGCUCGCGGGUCCCAGCUCUGCGGUUCGAACGCGGCCGCCAGACCCGCGUCCCGCCCAGCUCUUGACUGACAAGCCUCUCUGCCAUUCGCGAUGCGUCCUGACCACGACUCCGCCCCCUACCGCGAUGUCUGUCCAAUCAACGGUCAAUGUGGCGGGGCGCGGCGGUUUCCUCGGAGAGGGACGCUCGAAGUUGCAGGCAUCUGGGCGGUACUUAGCGUUGAGUAACAGAUUCGUCCCCCAAUAAGGGUGCAGCAUCUUGCGCAUGUGCGAGCUCCAUUGGGCAGAAGGAGGAGGAGGCGGGACUACUCGCUGAACUUGAGGAUGCCAAGCGACUGACGCUAUGGAGACGGGCUGGGGCAGCCAGCCGCGGUUCCUAUGAUGAGGCGAGCAGAACUGCAUCCUCUAUUCAAGUUAUUCAGCAGAGGGGUGGAGCCUAUCAAGUGCCCGUAUCCAUAUCCUUCCUACUGCCACAGGAGAAGGGAGCGAGACACUCACAAAAGGUACUUUUCAGCUGCUCCCUAGAAGAUAGCCAGAUUGUUCCUGAUCACAUUUCUCUCCGAUUCAAGCUUCCAACUAGUAAGCACGCUGCUCAGCUGGGACAGAACAACACUUUCUGCCUGAUGUACCAAGCCUGAAGAUCCUAUUACAGGAGAGAAAGGAAAAAUGGCUGCUGAACAAAUCAUAUGAAUUCCUUCAGCCAGCUGUCCGCCAGUCCCUUAAAAAAGAGAGAGAGAGAGAGAGAGCGCGAGCGCACUCGUGCGCUGGGGAGGCAAUAAAAGAUGCAUUUGUGUCCCAUUCAUCACUAUGUCAUCGUCAGAUGCAGGCGGAUAUUGUUUAGCAGCACUGUGAAUGGGUGCAAAUUAACACAUACUCCACAGCAUUUCCCUACCCCAGUUCAUUCUCCAGCCUGUUCCCCACCCCCUUG